GAAGGAGGACAGGUGAUCGCUGGGUCGGCAAACCGACCUGGAGGAAAGUCCGAGCUCCACAGGGCAGGAUGGUCGCUAACGGCGACUGGGGGCAACCCUAAGGAAAGUGCCACAGAAAAUAUACCGCCUGCCUAUGGCAGGUAAGGGUGAAAAGGCGAGGUAAGAGCUCACCAGUUUCCCGGGUGACCGGGAAAGCUUGGCAAACCCCAUCCGGAGCAAGACCAAAUAGGAGAACAUUUGAGGGUGGCCCGCCCAACGUUCUCGGGUAGGUCGCUUGAGGCAAC
rnacentral:RNase_P_RNA from 1 species